rnacentral:rRNA from 1 species
GACGAACGCUGGCGGCGUGCCUAAUACAUGCAAGUCGAACGCAGUGGGGACGGGUGAGUAACACGUGGGUAACCUCCCAUCAGAGGGGAUAACCCUUGGAAACAGGUGCUAAACCGAUACUGAUGGAUGGACCCGCGGUGCAUUAGCUAGUUGGUGAGGUAACGGCUCACCAAGGCCACGAUGCAUACGCGGCGUGGGGGGGUGAUCUGCCAAACUGGGAAUGAGACACGGCCCAGGCUCCUUCGGGAGGCAGCAGUAGGGAAUCUUCGGCAAUUGGCGGAAGGCUGGCCGAGCCACGGCGCGUGAGUGAAGAAGGGUUUCGGGGCGUAAAGGUCUGUUGUUAGGGAAGCGGUAACUAACCAGAAAGGGACGGCUAACUACGUGCCAGCAGCCGCGGUAAUUC